UCGGCUAUCGGCCAGAAGCAACCCUGCAACGGGCUGUCAAAUCGACACGCGAGGCUAGCAGGCCGACUUCCGUUUGAUAUUCGUUCUUUCGUUCUCAAACCGUCGUCCAGACCAGAAGGAAAAUGAGAGCUAAGUGGCGUAAGAAGCGUAUGCGUAGGUUGAAGCGUAAGCGCAGAAAGAUGCGUGCAAGGUCCAAGUAAGCGCAGCGCCUUUGCCCACUAAAUGGAACCUUUGAUUGAUGCCGACAAACCCAAACGAAACACGCCGCCUGGGCUGCCCUCUAAUGAGGGUCCCACAUGUAAUUUUGCAAAACCAGUUUUCACACAAACGUACAUGUGCAUUUAAAAUUCACGUUUCCAUUUCUCGUAAAAAUUGAUUCUAAUAAAUUACUGGAUUUUCGCCAAGGUUCCACGAGAAAAA